GCACAAAUUUGCUUGCUGGCAACCAUGUGAGAUGGGACUUUCUCCUCCUUGACUUUCGCCAUGAUUGUGAGGCCUUCCCAGCCAUGUGGAACUAUCACUCAUUCUGGGGGCAGCCCUCUGGCAUGUAAUGAGCAGUCCUAUGGAGAGGCCCAUGUGACAGUAGCCAUGCGAGUGACACUGGAAGUGAAACCUGCAGCUCCAGUCAAGCCUUUAGAAGACUGCAGCCCUGGCUGACAGCUUGACAGCAAACUCAUGAGAGACUCUCAGCUUGAACAACUCAGCUAAACUGUUCCUGGGUUCCUGGUCCUCAAAAACUGUUAUAAAAGACAUUGUGGCUACCAUCUCUCAUCACUCACUCAAAGGGAAGCCAACCACCAUGCAAUGAGAAUCUCAGGUAAUGAGGACCUGAGACCUGUUGUCAAUCACGUGAAUAAGCUUGGGAGGAGAUUCUCCAGCCCCAGUCAAGCCUCAGAAGACUUCAGCCCUAGGUGACAGCUUGAUGAUAAUCUCGGGAGGCAGAACCACCCAACUAAGCCACUCCUGGAUUCCUGACCCUGACCCUGACCCUAGAAACAGUGUGAGCUGGAAUUCUGUGAAGCACAUGACCUCAAGUCUUUGGAUAAAUGGAAACGCAGCUUAUGCCGGAAAGAUGGAAGGCUGGCUGUACUAAUAUCAGAAAUGGAAGAGGAGAGACAUCACUAGAGAUCCCAUGGAUAUUGAAAGGAUAAUAAAGGAGUAUUAUGA
rnacentral:lncRNA from 1 species